AUUGAACGCUGGCGGCAUGCCUUACACAUGCAAGUCGAGCGCGAAAGGGGGCAACCCCGAGUAGAGCGGCGGACGGGUGAGUAACACAUCGGAACGUGCCCAGUAGUGGGGGACAACCUCGAGAAAUCGAGGCUAAUACCGCAUACGACCCACGGGUGAAAGCGGGGACCGCAAGGCCUCGCGCUAUUGGAGCGGCCGAUGUCCGAUUAGCUAGUUGGCGGGGUAANAGCCCACCAAGGCGACGAUCGGUAGCUGGUCUGAGAGGACGACCAGCCACACUGGGACUGAGACACGGCCCAGACUCCUACGGGAGGCAGCAGUGGGGAAUUUUGGACAAUGGGGGCAACCCUGAUCCAGCCAUGCCGCGUGCGGGAAGAAGGCC
rnacentral:rRNA from 1 species